CUGCUGGGAUUUACAGGCAUUAACCACCACACACAGCUUAUCACCUCUUGGAGACUAGCUUUGAGUUUGGGCAUUCACUGAACUAUAUUUUGGUUAAUUCUCAAAGUUUGUCACUGUUUAUCUUUAAUUUGCUAAAAAUCUACAUGUAUUGUGAAAUGCAUUACAUUUCCUUAGCGUUUAUGGAUUCCCUGUUAGUGGGGCAGAGACGCAGAAGGGCAGAAGGCGUUCGGGCAUCAUCAGGGUUGCAGUUGAGUGCUUGCCCCGAACACACUGGGGCUCUGGGCUCUGUGGCCCUACGGGGGUCCUCUGUCCACUGAGGGGCCGGGUUACCUGGAAGGUCCCUCCAGCCUCUGCCAUUUUGCCCUUUUCAGGUUAAUAUCUCAUCGUUGUCCUGGACAGCACUGCCAUUCGUUCACUGACCCACGAGUGAACAGCUGGUCCAUGGCCAGUGCUGCUUCCUUCAGCUUGGAGGUGGUGAUGUGAUAACACUUCCUUGGAACUUGGUUCUUGGUGUGUAUUAAUGGUUCAGUUGUAUGUUUCUUUUUAAUCUGCACCUCUGAAUUGGUCUUUUGAUUGCAAAGAGAUUGCUUACUGGAUUUGUUUCUGAAUAUUUCGUGGAUAACAGGAGAACCUUGUUUAUCUGUGUGUUCAUUUAAUGUGUUUUUGCCAGGCAUUUGAAUGGGUGUGUUAGCCCUUAGCCCACUUUCUGUGUGUGGUGGAGUCAUUGAAAUCAUUUAUGUGAAGUCUCUCUUCUGUUAAGGCCGGAGGACGUGGGGUGGUGUCUCCCUAAACUAGGGGGAAAUGACUUGUUCUGCCCUCCUCCCUGGGUGUGCUGGUGUUUCCAGGUCUCUGAACUUGGCUCCCACACUGGGAGAGUGGCUGUGGCUUCUGGAGCCUGUUUUGUGCGGGACUGACUCCUUCACUUGCUUUAUUCCCCACGGUCUUUGCUGCUUUAUGAUGCAGGGAUGAGGAAGUUGGGCCUGGGGGCCUUGUCUGUGCCUGAAGGGCAAGAUGCAGAAACUCCUCGUGGGAAGGAUGUUCCUUGAGGGCAACUUUUGGAGUCUUUUCCUACUUUUAACUGAGAAGUAGCUAUUCACAUGGUUCUAUUCUGCUAGUGUGUUUCAAAAUAAUUGGUGUAGAGUUACGAAGAUGUCCGAGACACCCAUGAUCCACUCCGGGCCAGUGCCAGACAUUGAGCUCAGAUGCAUUCAGACCACAUUCAGAUGCCAAAGAUUCUUGCUUGGUUAUUCUCAAACUUAUGAGAAUCUAAAACGCGAGCCACGGUAUGGAUUUUCUCUUGAGCCCCCAUGACUUUGCCUUGUAUUUUGGGCAUGAAUGACUUCAUCAAGGGGAAAGAAUUUGAGGAAGGAGCCUCUGAGGCUAGGAGGGGGUGGGAAGAGGAGGGAAAAGGAGCUGUAGAGGGAAGAGCCAGGCUGGGGCUGCGGCAUCUCCUCAUGUUGCUCCCCCACCCCUGGCGCGAGGCCCCAGGGACUGACUGAUUUUCCCACAGGAAAUGUGUAUGAUUGCGUGUCUGUUUUGUGGGCUGGCCAUUUGGAUUGAGGGAAUGUCCGUGUUGUGAUUCCUUAUUGAUUCGAAGGUUGAAAAGGUUUGUGCUCAAUACACGGGUCUCUUGGUGCGAUGAGAAAUGUGAUCGCAGCCGCCUUCAGGGUGGGGAGAGCCCUUGAGGCCCUCAGUGGUGGCCGGUGUCGGCCUUCGUUUCCCUGGGUGAGCUGCCUUCAGGGUGGGAAGGGAGGUCCUCGGUGGUGGCCGCUGUUGGCCUUCGCCUCCGUGGGUGAGUAUUGCUCCAUCCCCGGCUCUCCGACUCCUUGCCUGGCAUCUUCUUCGUUGGAGGCCGUGAUCCAUCAACCUUGUCCACGCGUGUCCUGUAGACUAGUGCUGACUGUAGGUUCAGGAGUGGUCAGAGGAGGCCCUCGUGAUGCGAAGCUAAACGUUUAAUGAUGGCGCUGCUGAGUGCAUGAGCCGCGUCAGCCCAAGUGUCUGGGUAGGAGGGAACUACGGGGUGGAGGGAAGACUGGACAGAUGGGUGCUUUCCUCGGCCCCUGGGAGCACGGCCAGGUCCAUGCUCAGACCUCCUGGUUUCUCCCAUAUUUCCAUAAAUAGCAAGGGAAGGUCUCGGGGCACCCAGGGACCUCAGGGGGUGUAAGCUGUGUCCUCGCGUGGCCCCAGCUGUGGCCAGUGAUGUUAUUCUCUUUAACCUCAGGCUUAUUUUGUAUAAAAACACAAAGGGACAGAAGUAGUUCAAGGGCCUCUAAAGACUUACGUAAUUGUUAAUAGGCCUACUUUUAUGCUUUCUUAGGUAUUAAGAGCAAAUCAUGAAACAAACUCAUUUCUGUUUGAAGAAAUCUUGACGAUUCUCAUUUUUGUGGCAAGCAACAUUGAUUCUUUGCUUAGUGAGCGUUAGUGCCCUCCUGCCCAGUGCUGCUGCCUGGCGUGUCCUCGCACACAACUCUGUCCAUUGGUCUCCGUUCACCUUUCCGCCUAGAAUUGUAGGAGGGGCGCUAGGAUCUUAGGGCUAGAAAGAAACUCUGAAGACCACUUUUAGGGGCGGCUUCUGGUCAGGGCUCUCCAGAGAGACAGCCAGCCGGGUGUGCAUGUGUCUCCAGAGGGAGGGCUGUUGCAGGGGCUACAGAGUCCAAGAAGCCCCAGGACCCACAGCCUGCAAGCUAGAGUCCUGGGAGGGUGUGGCUUGAAGACUUGAGAAGCGGAGGGUGCAGAUCCCACCCGGGUCUGAGGAGCUGAGACCCAGGAGCACGGGCUGCAGAAGACAAAUGUCACUGGCCCAUCAGCCAGACAGGUGGAGUGAACCCAGUUUUCCCCGCCUUGCUGUUUUACUCGGGCCCUGGGUGGAUGAGGUGGUGCCCCCCACACCGGCGAGGAUGGGUGUCCACUCAGUCCAGAGGCAAACAUGCAUCUCACACAGAAAUAAUGCAGAACCAGCCAUCUGGGCACCCUGGGCACGCUCAGGUUGAUGCACAAAACCAACGCCGCGCGUGGCCCUGACGUCUGCGUGUUCGCAUCACUCCACGCACAUUGCUCGGUCAUCGCCUCGUGCCCAGGAGGCUGAUGCCACAUAGAAGACCUGCAGGUCGAUGGAUGUGAAACAGGCAACGGACACGCUGUGCACCUUGGGAUGCAUCUGAGAAGUACGUGCUUGCAGCAGGUCUGAGAUUCUGUGGCCAAAAACUUACCCGUGGACAUUGAGGGUGAUGCACUUCUGCUCCAAGACGUCUGUGGACUCAGCUAGAGGGAUGGAAAGGAUAUGGAGCCUCUUCACUCCUGGCCUGGGCUUGGACCUGCUGUGCAGCCUCUCAGUGGCACUAGGGUCCCCUUGUGUCACAGCGGUCUCGGGUUGGUGGCACUGCACUGCCCCAGGAUGUCCCAGGCUUCAUGAUGUCCAGGCUCCUCUGGCAUGGCGGCCUCAGAUUUCUUUGCAUCGUCUCCCUUAUCCAGAAGUGAGGGUGAACGCUGAGUUAUUUACGGGAGUCAAGAAACCACACGCAGCCCAAACAGACGUUUGUUUCCCUGGAAUGAUUUUUGUGUGUUCACCUUAAAAUGCAACUCAGUAAAACAGCUGAAUUCAAGAAAGGGAAACAAGCAGACAGAGUAAGUACCAGAAAGCGUCUAAGUUGUUGGGUGGGGGAUCCUACUAUGGUGUUGGAUUGUGUUCUGCCAGACAUCACUCCUCAAAAAGCUGACCCUGAAAGGGCUGGCAUUGCCCUCACCCUGCGACAUUUGUCUAUCUCACCAGAGAAUGAAGAAUCUGCCAGAGUACUGUGAGUCAAAUUCAGUCAGAACUCGAUUAACUAAGAGGCUUUGUCUCAAAGGCCAAAACAUGAGGACACAUUUUU